rnacentral:rRNA from 1 species
AACGUACGCUGGCGGCACGCCUAACACAUGCAAGUCGAACGAAGUAGCAAUACUUAGUGGCAGACGGGUGAGUAACAUGUAGGUAUCUGCCCUUUGGCCUGGAAUAACACGAGGAAACUUGUGCUAAUACCGGAUAAGUCUUUACGGAGAAAGCUUUAUGCACCAUUGGAUGAGCCUGCACUUGAUUAGUUUGUUGGUGGGGUAAUGGCCUACCAAGACUGUGAUCAAUAGCUGAUUUGAGAGGAUGAUCAGCCACAUUGGGACUGAGACACGGCCCAAACUCCUACGGGAGGCAGCAGUGGGGAAUCUUGCACAAUGGAGGAAACUCUGAUGCAGCGAUGCCGCGUGAGUGAAGAAGGCCCUUGGGUUGUAAAGCUCUUUCGUCGGGGAAGAAAAUGACUGUACCCGAAUAAGAAGGUCCGGCUAACUUCGUGCCAGCAGCCGCGGUAAUACGAAGGGACCUAGCGUAGUUCGGAAUUACUGGGCUUAAAGAGUUCGUAGGUGGUUGAAAAAGUUAGUGGUGAAAUCCCAGAGCUUAACUCUGGAACUGCCAUUAAAACUUUUCAGCUAGAGUAUGAUAGAGGAAAGCAGAAUUUCUAGUGUAGAGGUGAAAUUCGUAGAUAUUAGAAAGAAUACCAAUUGCGAAGGCAGCUUUCUGGAUCAUUACUGACACUGAGGAACGAAAGCAUGGGUAGCGAAGAGGAUUAGAUACCCUCGUAGUCCAUGCCGUAAACGAUGUGUGUUAGACGUUGGAAAUUUAUUUUCAGUGUCGCAGGGAAACCGAUAAACACACCGCCUGGGGAGUACGACCGCAAGGUUAAAACCCAAAUGAAUUGACGGGGACCCGCACAAGUAGUGGAGCAUGUGGUUUAAUUCGAAGAUACGCGCAGAACCUUACCAACACUUGACAUGUUCGUCGCGACUCUAAGAGAUUAGAGUUUUCGGUUCGGCCGGACGAAACACAGGUGCUGCAUGGCUGUCGUCAGCUCGUGUCGUGAGAUGUUGGGUUAAGUCCCGCAACGAGCGCAACCCUCACUUUUAGUUGCCAUCAUUAAGUUGGGCACUCUGAAAGAACUGCCAGUGAUAAGCUGGAGGAAGGUGGGGAUGACGUCAAGUCCUCAUGGCCCUUACGUGUUGGGCUACACACGUGCUACAAUGGUAUCUACAACAGGAAGCAAGACUGCGAAGUUAAGCAAAUCCCUAAAAGAUACCUCAGUUCGGAUUGCACUCUGCAACUCGAGUGCAUGAAGCUGGAAUUACUAGUAAUCGUGGAUCAGCGUGCCACGGUGAAUGCGUUCCCGGGUCU